ACGAACGCUGGCGGCGUGGAUAAGACAUGCAAGUCGAACGAGAGAAUUGCUAGCUUGCUAAUAAUUCUCUAGUGGCGCACGGGUGAGUAACACGUGAGUAACCUGCCCCCGAGAGCGGGAUAGCCCUGGGAAACUGGGAUUAAUACCGCAUAGUAUCGAAAGAUUAAAGCAGCAAUGCGCUUGGGGAUGGGCUCGCGGCCUAUUAGUUAGUUGGUGAGGUAACGGCUCACCAAGGCGAUGACGGGUAGCCGGUCUGAGAGGAUGUCCGGCCACACUGGAACUGAGACACGGUCCAGACACCUACGGGUGGCAGCAGUCGAGAAUCAUUCACAAUGGGGGAAACCCUGAUGGUGCGACGCCGCGUGGGGGAAUGAAGGUCUUCGGAUUGUAAACCCCUGUCAUGUGGGAGCAAAUUAAAAAGAUAGUACCACAAGAGGAAGAGACGGCUAACUCUGUGCCAGCAGCCGCGGUAAUACAGAGGUCUCAAGCGUUGUUCGGAAUCACUGGGCGUAAAGCGUGCGUAGGCUGUUUCGUAAGUCGUGUGUGAAAGGCGCGGGCUCAACCCGCGGACGGCACAUGAUACUGCGAGACUAGAGUAAUGGAGGGGGAACCGGAAUUCUCGGUGUAGCAGUGAAAUGCGUAGAUAUCGAGAGGAACACUCGUGGCGAAGGCGGGUUCCUGGACAUUAACUGACGCUGAGGCACGAAGGCCAGGGGAGCGAAAGGGAUUAGAUACCCCUGUAGUCCUGGCAGUAAACGGUGCACGCUUGGUGUGCGGGGAAUCGACCCCCUGCGUGCCGGAGCUAACGCGUUAAGCGUGCCGCCUGGGGAGUACGGUCGCAAGAUUAAAACUCAAAGAAAUUGACGGGGACCCGCACAAGCGGUGGAGUAUGUGGCUUAAUUCGAUGCAACGCGAAGAACCUUACCUGGGCUUGACAUGUAAUGAACAACAUGUGAAAGCAUGCGACUCUUCGGCGGCGUUACACAGGUGCUGCAUGGCCGUCGUCAGCUCGUGUCGUGAGAUGUUUGGUUAAGUCCAGCAACGAGCGCAACCCCUGUUGCCAGUUACCAGCACGUGAAGGUGGGGACUCUGGCGAGACUGCCCAGAUCAACUGGGAGGAAGGUGGGGACGACGUCAGGUCAGUAUGGCCCUUAUGCCCAGGGCUGCACACGUACUACAAUGCCCAGUACAGAGGGGGCCGAAGCCGCGAGGCGGAGGAAAUCCUAAAAACUGGGCCCAGUUCGGACUGUAGGCUGCAACCCGCCUACACGAAGCCGGAAUCGCUAGUAAUGGCGCAUCAGCUACGGCGCCGUGAAUACGUUCCCGGGUCUUGUACACACCGCCCGUCACAUCAUGGAAGCCGGUCGCACCCGAAGUAUCUGAAGCCAACCGCAAGGAGGCAGGGUCCUAAGGUGAGACUGGUAACUGGGAUG
rnacentral:rRNA from 1 species